rnacentral:rRNA from 1 species
GAUGAACGCUGGCGGCGUGCCUAAUACAUGCAAGUCGAGCGAACGGACGAGAAGCUUGCUUCUCUGAUGUUAGCGGCGGACGGGUGAGUAACACGUGGAUAACCUACCUAUAAGACUGGGAUAACUUCGGGAAACCGGAGCUAAUACCGGAUGAUAUUUUGAACCGCAUGGUUCAAAAGUGAAAGACGGUCUUGCUGUCACUUAUAGAUGGAUCCGCGCUGCAUUAGCUAGUUGGUAAGGUAACGGCUUACCAAGGCAACGAUGCAUAGCCGACCUGAGAGGGGGAUCGGCCACACGGGAACUGAGACACGGUCCAGACGCCUGCGGGAGGCAGCAGUAGGGAAUCUUCCGCAAAGGGCGAAAGCCUGACGGAGCAACGCCGCGUGAGUGAUGAAGGUCUUCGGAUCGUAAAACUCUGUUAUUAGGGAAGAACAUAUGUGUAAGUAACUGUGCACAUCUUGACGGUACCUAAUCAGAAAGCCACGGCUAACUACGUG